GGCACACUUUCAAAAUAAAAUAAAAUUGGAAACCUUACAUCUAUCAAGAUUCACAGAUGGGAUCGAGAUUAGCACGCUACACCCCCUAUGUAGUAGUUAAAAAAAAACCAUUCAAAAAAUAGCCCCCUACACCACUACCCCUAUGUAAACUUUGAUACUUGUGCCCAGUGGCGGAGCUUGAAAGAAAAUGCUGGGUGGGCCAGACUAAACAAGAGCACAAUUUUUUUUGAAAUUCUGAAUCAUAAGCAUCAGUAUGAUUACCGGAUGGAGCAAGCAGUAUGUAUAUAUACAACAAAAUACAUUUUAACCCUGAACCACUAUUAAGUUAGCUAAUACAAAAGCUUUGAGACAUUAGACAUGUGACUUACUCACAUACUACAAAUCGACUCUCCGGUCACCCUUGCUUCUAAAAUCUGCAAUGACAUCUUCGUGGCUGUAGUUCUCUAGAAUUCCACCCUCUAUGUGAACUAACAGAUUAUUGGCAAGAUUCUCAUCUUCCAGGGUCUCGCUGCACGCUGCAAGAACUCAAUACCUUCGAAUGUAACAGCUUCAUUUGCUCGAACCUAUUCGUACUGGUUUUGGUUAUGUUGUUCCAAUUCAAGCAACGGCAAUAUCUGGUUUUCCUGAACUCGAGUUAUGUCAUCUCUUUUCCUUUUAAAAACCAAAUCAAUUCUUCUCUGAGAUUGAUUUUCCUUGCCCAUGAUUACCUGUGUUGCAAUUUGUAUAAGAUCAGGCUAUUCACUUUCUUAUCAAAUGGACACAACUAUUUUUUAUCAACAGUUCAACACUGGACACUCAAAACAGAUGAAUAGUUGGCGCUAAUGGUUAGAAAUCCCACUGGACACUCAACAGUCAACAGAAUUCUAUACAGGUGGAAUUCCAUAUGGAUAAAAUCUGUUUCUUAUAAACACUGGACACUGAAAAUAGAUGAGUUCAUGACUCAUAAGUAGAUGUAAAGAACUGAACAAAAAUGAUAAAAUGGGGAAUUACCUCUUGCUUCUGACAGUUGCUCUACUCUUGGAGGACAGUAGGAGACUGGAGACUAGGAGAGCUCAUCCAGUGAUCUGCUCAUGCGCCAGCCGCCAGAAGUGGUUCGGCAGGCCGCAGGCCAGUAGCACGACGGCGUGGCCGAGCCCAAGCAGAUGUCAUCUGUGAGCAGGUGCAGAGAGUCGGGGGAAGGGAGGAAAGCAAGGGGCUGAACCGUGGCUGUGAGAUACAGGGAUUCCGGCGAGAGAGGAUAGACGCUGUCGGUUCGCCGACGGCAGCGGCUUGCUCCUGUGCUCACUGCUCGACUGUGGGACAGUUUGGGAAUUAGGGAGUAGGGAUUCCUAGCGCUGCCUGCCUCUCUCCGGCUGCUCUGUGCGUUUUUUUUUAGCAAGGCUGCUCUGUGCGUGAAAGCGAGAGGAUGCACGUGGGCUGGGCUAGUGGGCUUGGGAGAUGCCUAUAUAAAAAAAUUUGGGUCAAAAUCCUGGGCGGGCCAUGGCCCGGUUUAGCCCCUACAGAGCUCCGCCCCUGCUUGUGCCUAUCCACUUCAUAAUUGCUGAAUAAGGUUUAAGCUUUUGACAAAUCAAAGCUCAAACCACAGGUCAUGAAUCGAAAGGCUGAAAUUCUCGAGAUGGAACAGAACAAGGCAACACGUUGCAGGUUUCAAUUCCCUGGAGUUAGCAUCCGCCCUGAAGACAAUUCACAGCAGAGUACAGCAAACGUGCUAAAUAAAGCAUAUGGAGACACAUGCAGCCUGUGUCUCCUCCCGAAACAAGUCCACCGCAAUUCCCAGCAUCCUGCAGAGUACAGAGGUGCUAGCCAGAGAUACGCCCCUACUACAAGUAGUAAAACGAUAUACUACCAGCAUCUAUCUACAUCAAUAAAUGUUCUCCACAGUUCAAUCAGGCCAAAUACUGAAUCUACUAGUACCAUACACAAGACCUGCCACACGAUCCAAAUCGAAAUUCGCGUCACGACUAGCUAAUUCGAACCAUCUCGUAGCGUCCCACGGCCUCCCCUGCAACACAAUUUGGGGGCGCAAUUUGCACCAUAGCCUGGCAAGAAUCCUGACCAAAAAAAGAAGGAUUAGAUCUUGCUUGGCAACAAAAAAUCCGUCAGAUCAAGCAGGCAACAAUUAAAGCUAGGCGCCGGAUCUAGAUCUAGCGAAUUUCUUAAACAGGGCAAAUAUCAGAGCGCCACGGGCACGAGCGAACAUACGGAAUCGCACAUAAAAAUCCGCAGCGAGUAGCAGCCUCGGACCGAUCGAACCAGUCGAGACCGACGGCGGCAGAGCAUCAACCAAUUCGGGGCGCGGAGAGGCAGCAAAAGCGGCGGCGGGGGCGAGGUCGCUGCGCCGGCUCCGAUUCACUUGGUGCAAGGCGGGAUCCGGCCCGUCGGGGCGGGCGGAGGGUCCCGAUCUGCACCAAGCGAGCCCGAGGCGGCGGCGACGGGGAGGGGAGGAGACGAUCGAUCCCGAUUCGGUUGCUCGGCAUGGAGGGCGGUGGACUUUGUGGGGAGGAGGGGGGAGCGUGCUACCUACGGCGACU
rnacentral:rRNA from 1 species